rnacentral:tRNA from 1 species
GCCCAGGUGGCGGAACUGGUAGACGCGCUAGCUUCAGGUGCUAGUUUCUGUAUGGAAGUGGAGGUUCGAGUCCUCUCCUGGGCA